GUGUGAGAAUUUACACUCCAGAUAUCAGCAAAACUGUUUCUCUGGGCAUGACUAGAUGUCCUAAAAUGGAGGGAUCCUGAGGAGCCUUUGGAGCAUGCUCAGGUUGCCCCACUUGUAAUUGUUCUGUGUCUCCUACCAUGCGGAGAGGAGAUCUCAGGCACGGAGGACUAAGAUGGCAACUAAAACAUAGUAGCCAAAUCCAGAAAAUCAGAAGCAGAGCCAGGAGAGGAAUAAAGGUCACUUUGUUUCUUAAUUGAGAGAUUUGGAUAUUAUGACCUCUGAAGUUCUACCCACCUCUAAAAUCUAUGAAAUUAAGAUUGUUUCCUCCUCAGGAAAGAGGAACACAAGAGAUAUUUCCAGAACUUGACCUGCUUUAUACGUAUCAAUUUCUACCUAUGUAUGUGUUUAUCUCGCUAUCUGUCUAUGUAUAUGCUUUGCUGCAUUUCCACAUGGAAGCAGAGAUGAUGGAUAAAAGUUCUAUACCAGAGAGAGAAAGCAUGGAUCCAGAUUUUACUAUCACUACAUAUUUACUCUGUUACCGUAGAUCAUGUGCUUAACCUCUCUGGUAUUAUUUUCUCAGUUGUUAUA